GACGAACGCUGGCGGCGUGCUUAACACAUGCAAGUCGAGCGGUAAGGCCCUUUCGGGGGUACACGAGCGGCGAACGGGUGAGUAACACGUGGGUGACCUGCCCUCAGCUCUGGGAUAAGCCUGGGAAACCGGGUCUAAUACCGGAUAUGACUCCAUGACGCAUGUUGUGGGGUGGAAAGCCUUGUGCGGCUGAGGAUGGGCCCGCGGCCUAUCAGCUUGUUGGUGGGGUGAUGGCCUACCAAGGCGACGACGGGUAGCCGGCCUGAGAGGGCGACCGGCCACACUGGGACUGAGACACGGCCCAGACUCCUACGGGAGGCAGCAGUGGGGAAUCUUGCGCAAUGGGCGAAAGCCUGACGCAGCGACGCCGCGUGAGGGAUGACGGC
rnacentral:rRNA from 1 species